CCUACGGGAGGCAGCAGUGGGGAAUAUUGCGCAAUGGGCGAAAGCCUGACGCAGCGACGCCGCGUGAGGGAUGAAGGUCCUCGGAUCGUAAACCUCUGUCAGCAGGGACGAACGGUCACUGUGCUAAUCAGCAGUGAAUUGACGGUACCUGCAAAGUAAGCACCGGCUAACUCCGUGCCAGCAGCCGCGGUAAUACGGAGGGUGCGAGCGUUAAUCGGAAUUACUGGGCGUAAAGCGGUCGUAGGCGGUAUGUCAAGUCAAGGGUGAAAUCCCCGCGCUCAACGUGGGAACUGCCUUUGAAAAUGGCAAACUGGAGGGAGUGAGAGGAUAGGGGAAUUCAAGGUGUAGGAGUGAAAUCCGUAGAUACCUGGAGGAAGAUGAGUGGCGAAGGCGACUAAAUGGAACAUAACUGACGCUGAGGAGCGAAAGCGUGGGUAGCAAACAGGAUUAGAAUC
rnacentral:rRNA from 1 species